CCCAAAAGAAUAUGAGUUCUAAAAGGGAAACAGGAAGUCCUAAAUCCUACAGAAAUGCCUGCACCAGAUAGUGAGGAAAUGGGGCAGGUUAGAAGCAGAGGGAAAAGAGAGAACCUGGAGGAAACCCACAGAGAAAAAAGACAAGACUUAUCAGGCAGGCUUGGGGUUUGAACCCUCAGCCUUGGAGAUGUGAGCCUCUGUGCACCUCUAUGCUGUUUUACACCACCAUCCAGGGGCCAAGAUAUCAGAUAUAAGAAAAACAAUC